rnacentral:rRNA from 1 species
CCUACGGGAGGCAGCAGUGGGGAAUUUUGGACAAUGGGCGCAAGCCUGAUCCAGCCAUGCCGCGUGCGGGAAGAAGGCCUUCGGGUUGUAAACCGCUUUUGUCAGGGAAGAAAAGGUUCUGGAUAAUACCUGGGACUCAUGACGGUACCUGAAGAAUAAGCACCGGCUAACUACGUGCCAGCAGCCGCGGUAAUACGUAGGGUGCAAGCGUUAAUCGGAAUUACUGGGCGUAAAGCGUGCGCAGGCGGUUAUGCAAGACAGAGGUGAAAUCCCCGGGCUCAACCUGGGAACUGCCUUUGUGACUGCAUAGCUAGAGUACGGUAGAGGGGGAUGGAAUUCCGCGUGUAGCAGUGAAAUGCGUAGAUAUGCGGAGGAACACCGAUGGCGAAGGCAAUCCCCUGGACCUGUACUGACGCUCAUGCACGAAAGCGUGGGGAGCAAACAGGAUUAGAUACCCUGGUAGUCCACGCCCUAAACGAUGUCAACUGGUUGUUGGGAGGGUUUCUUCUCAGUAACGAAGCUAACGCGUGAAGUUGACCGCCUGGGGAGGACGGCGCGAGUAGUUAAGUUAGUAAGAAGUUAGUAGCGNGAGAGNGCGACGACGACGACGAGGAGGAGG